AAACGUUCAACCGAGUUUAUCGUUAAUGAAUGUAAACAGCAUGUAAUGCUAGUGGCCACAUCGGAGUUACUUAUGUGGAAGACUGGAAUAUCCGAAUCUGAACUCUCAGGUGUUUCAGAAAUAGUAAAAAAGAAAGAAAAAAAAGAGAAAAGAAAAAACUCUAUAAUGCUAAAGAGGGAACUGGGAAAAAACCAACAGCAAUUCCUCGUUGAUUUCAGUUUCUAUUGCACUUCUAACAA
rnacentral:misc_RNA from 1 species